CCUGUAUGAAAUAAUCAUUCCAGUACCUGGACAAGAUAAAGAGAAAAAAAAUUUAGUCUUGCACAUUGACAACAAACAGUUAGCCAAAAUCAAUUAUUAAAGAUUUCAAUUUUAUCCCAAAAUAUAGCCAACAACUAUCCUUACUAGUGAAGAACAAUCAUUCUUUUAUUGCAACCAUAUCUAAGGUUGUUUAAAUAACCCAAUGUACUCUAUAGCUAAAUUAAUAUACACAACUAAUUGAAUAAACUACAAUAAACUAAAUUCUACUUUUCUACGGUGUAAAUAAAGUCUAACUUUUUAAUCAUACAUUAUUUUUCAAAUCCCUGAUGUGGGUUAAAUUUAUAUAUAUAUUAGUAUUAAAAAUAGAUGUGAAAAUUAUACAAUAAUUAAUCAUACGCAUAUAAAUAUCUAAUAGAGAACAACAGAAAGAAUUAAAAAUUUGACAAAUAUCCAAAUUUGAUUCAACUCAUAAAUAUUUACUAAAAUUUGAGCAAGAGACGAGAGAGAGAAAAAUUGUGACAUCCGUACAUUUUAUUUUCUCCCAGAAAACUGAUAAUUCCAUAUGCUGGAAAAAGAUGCAAAAUAAAAAAAAGAAGAAAGAAAGAAGCAACAAAAACUUAAUUACACAAAAAUCACAAGAUACUUUGAAAUUGGAAGAGUGAAGAAUAAAGAGGAACUUGAGAAAAUCACUAGAAAUGCAUGCCAUAAAAUUAUUAAGACUAUCCAAGGCAAAUGCAGUGAGGGUGGACAACAAUUUCAGAGAAGGCAACAGACUUGCUGAUUUUUAACUAAUCAAGUUUUCCAUAUUGCUGGUAAUAAUCAUAUUAUAUAUAAUUUAAGACAUUUUUCAAUAACUGAACCUAUUUUACUAUUUUGGAUAUGGAUAAAGCCCAAAUUCCUAAUUUACAAAUUAGAAGUCAUCACAAAUAGGGAUUUCAGGGUUAAAGAUUGUUCCAUAUAAAUUAUUACAGGAGGGACAAGGCAACAAGAGAAAUAGUUGAGAGAUAGACAAAGCUUUCAUGUACAUGACUGACUUACCUUGACAUUUAUUCUUUACAUUAGUAUCAACAUUUAGCUCAAUUUGUAGAGAAGAAGAUAUCGAAGAUGGUUAGUCAUUGAAAAAGGAAAGAGAGUCUUGGAACAUUUAUUACUUAUCAGAUAAGCUUGGGGACAUUAAAAUCUAAAAGGAGCUUACCAGUCACCUUUUUUUGGAACAAGAAUUUUUUAACGGAGUCAGAACUCAUGGAAUUUGUGAUAUAUAGAUUUUAGAUGUCUAAGGUGGAUUCUAUCCAAGCUUAGAUAUUUGUAUUGUUUCGAUCUGUUGUUCGUAUCCCAUUUCUAUUCUUUGAUAUCGCCAUUAUUAUCUUGGCAAGCUUGAGACUUCACAAGAAAGAAAAAGAGGCGGUGCUAUCG
rnacentral:lncRNA from 1 species